CGUUUUUCCGCCUAAAGAGAAGCUUGCGGCUGAUUAGCUUGUUGGUAAGGUAAUGGCUUACCAAGGCGACGAUCAGUAUCUGGUUUGAGAGGACGAUCAGACACACUGGAACUGAGACACGGUCCAGACUCCUACGGGAGGCAGCAGUGGGGAAUUUUCCGCAAUGGGCGAAAGCCUGACGGAGCAAUACCGCGUGAGGGAUGAAUGCCUAUGGGUUGUAAACCUCUUUUUUCAGGGAGGAACAAAAUGACGUGUACCUGAAGAAUAAGCAUCGGCUAACUCCGUGCCAGCAGCCGCGGUAAGACGGAGGAUGCAAGUGUUAUCCGGAAUCACUGGGCGUAAAAGCGUCUGUAGGUGGUUUAAUAAGUCAACUGUUAAAUCUUGAGGCUCAACCUCGAACCGCAGUCGAAACUAUUAGACUAGAAUAUAGUGGGG
rnacentral:rRNA from 1 species